rnacentral:rRNA from 1 species
UACGGGGGGGGCAAGCGUUGUUCGGAAUUACUGGGCGUAAAGGGCUCGUAGGCGGCCAACUAAGUCAGACGUGAAAUCCCUCAGCUUAACUGGGGAACUGCGUCUGAUACUGGAUGGCUUGAGUUUGGGAGAGGGAUGCGGAAUUCCAGGUGUAGCGGUGAAAUGCGUAGAUAUGUGGAGGAAUACCGAUGGCGAAGGCAGCCCCCUGGGAUAACACUGACGCUCAUGCACGAAAGCGUGGGGAGCAAACAGG